rnacentral:rRNA from 1 species
UGGGGAAUAUUGGACAAUGGGGGCAACCCUGAUCCAGCAAUGCCGCGUGUGUGAAGAAGGUCUUCGGAUUGUAAAGCACUUUCGACGGGGACGAUGAUGACGGUACCCGUAGAAGAAGCCCCGGCUAACUUCGUGCCAGCAGCCGCGGUAAUACGAAGGGGGCUAGCGUUGCUCGGAAUGACUGGGCGUAAAGGGCGUGUAGGCGGUUUACACAGUCAGAUGUGAAAUCCCCGGGCUUAACCUGGGAGCUGCAUUUGAUACGUGUAGACUAGAGUGUGAGAGAGGGUUUGUGGAAUUCCCAGUGUAGAGGUGAAAUUCGUAGAUAUUGGGAAGAACACCGGUGGCGAAGGCGGCGACCUGGCUCAUGACUGACGCUGAGGCGCGAAAGCGUGGGGAGCAAACAGGAUUAGAUACCCUGGUAGUCCACGCUGUAAACGAUGUGUGCUAGAUGUUGGGUAACUUU